GACGAACGCUGGCGGCGUGCUUAACACAUGCCAGUCGAACGGAAAGGCCCUGCUUUUGUGGGGUGCUCGAGUGGCGAACGGGUGAGUAACACGUGAGUAACCUGCCCUUGACUUUGGGAUAACUUCAGGAAACUGGGGCUAAUACCGGAUAGGAGCUCCUGCUGCAUGGGGGGGGUUGGAAAGUUUCGGCGGUUGGGGAUGGACUCGCGGCUUAUCAGCUUGUUGGUGGGGUAGUGGCUUACCAAGGCUUUGACGGGUAGCCGGCCUGAGAGGGUGACCGGCCACAUUGGGACUGAGAUACGCCCCAGACUCCUACGGGAGGCAGCAGUGGGGAAUAUUGCACAAUGGGCGGAAGCCUGAUGCAGCAACGCCGCGUGCGGGAUGACGGCCUUCGGGUUGUAAACCGCUUUCGCCUGUGACGAAGCGUGAGUGACGGUAAUGGGUAAAGAAGCACCGGCUAACUACGUG
rnacentral:rRNA from 1 species